UACGGAGGAGGCAAGCGUUAUCCGGAAUCAUUGGGCGUAAAGCGCGCGUAGGCGGUCAGGUAAGUCCGGUGUGAAAGUCAAAGGCUCAACCUUUGAAUGCCGCUGGAUACUGCUUGACUUGAGUCCGGAAGGGGCGAGUGGAAUUCCUGGUGUAGCGGUGAAAUGCGCAGAUAUCAGGAGGAACACCAAUGGCGAAGGCAGCUCGCUGGAACGGUACUGACGCUGAGGCGCGAAAGCGUGGGGAGCGAACAGG
rnacentral:rRNA from 1 species